rnacentral:tRNA from 1 species
ACUUGAAUAGCUUAUAGUUAGAGCAUGAUAUUGAAGAUAUUAAGGAAAUAUAUAAUUUUUAAGUA